CGUAGGUGGCAAGCGUUGUCCGGAGUUACUGGGUGUAAAGGGCGUGUAGGCGGGUUAAUAAGUCAGAUGUGAAAUUCCAUGGCUCAACUGUGGCGCUGCAUCUGAAACUAUUAAUCUUGAGUGAUGGAGAGGAAAGCGGAAUUCCUAGUGUAGCGGUGAAAUGCGUAGAUAUUAGGAGGAACACCAGUGGCGAAGGCGGCUUUCUGGACAUUAACUGACGCUGAGGCGCGAAAGCGUGGGGAGCAAACAGGAUUAGAUACCCUGGUAGUCCACGCUGUAAACGAUGGAUACUAGGUGUAGGAGGUAUCGACCCCUUCUGUGCCGGAGUUAACACAAUAAGUAUCCCACCUGGGGAGUACGGCCGCAAGGUUG
rnacentral:rRNA from 1 species